rnacentral:rRNA from 1 species
GAAGGGCAUGGUCUAGUAUAAAAUAACUUUAUAUUGUGAAACUGCGAAUGGCUCAUUAAAUCAGUUAUGAUCUACGUGACAAAUUCUUUACUACUUGGAUAACCGUGGUAAUUCUAGAGCUAAUACAUGCAAAAAAGCCCUGACUUACGAAGGGGUGCACUUAUUAGAUAAAACCAACGCGGGGUAAAACCUGUUUCUUGGUGAAUCAUAAUAAUUAAGCGGAUCGCAUGGCCUUGUGCCGGCGACGGUCCACUCGAUUUUCUGCCCUAUCAUGGUUGAGAUUGUAAGAUAGAGGCUUACAAUGCCUACAACGGGUAACGGGGAAUUAGGGUUCGAUUCCGGAGAGGGAGCCUGAGAAACGGCUACCACAUCCAAGGAAGGCAGCAGGCGCGCAAAUUACCCAAUCCCGACACGGGGAGGUAGUGACAAUACAUAACAAUGCAGGGCCUUUAAGGUCUUGCAAUUGGAAUGAGUACAAUUUAAAUCCCUUAACGAGGAUCAAUUGGAGGGCAAGUCUGGUGCCAGCAGCCGCGGUAAUUCCAGCUCCAAUAGCGUAUAUUAAAGUUGUUGCAGUUAAAACGUCCGUAGUCAAACUUUAGUCUUACCGGCGUAGUGGCCUGGUCUUCAUUGACCAAGCUCAUUGCUGCCGGAGACUCCAUGUCCAUUGACUCCUAGUCCUCGUGGCUAGGGUUUUCUGGACAAUUACCAUGAGCAAAUCAGAGUGUUUAAAGCAGGCUUUUAAGCUUGAAUGUGUUAGCAUGGAAUAAUGAAAUAUGACUUUAGUCCUAUUUUCGUUGGUUUAGGUACUUCAGUAAUGAUGAAUAGAAACGGUUAGGGGCAUUUGUAUUUGGUCGCUAGAGGUGAAAUUCUUGGAUUGACCGAAGACAAACUACUGCGAAAGCAUUUGACCCGGGACGUUUUCAUUGAUCAAGGUCUAAAGUUAAGGGAUCGAAGACGAUUAGAUACCGUCGUAGUCUUAACCACAAACUAUGCCGACUAGAGAUUGGGCGUGUUUAUUAUGACUCGCUCAGCAUCUUAGCGAAAGUAAAGUUUUUGGGUUCUGGGGGGAGUAUGGGACGCAAGGCUGAAACUUAAAGGAAUUGACGGAAGGGCACCACCAGGAGUGGAGCCUGCGGCUUAAUUUGACUCAACACGGGGAAACUCACCAGGUCCAGACAUAGUAAGGAUUGACAGAUUGAAAGCUCUUUCUAGAUUCUAUGGGUGGUGGUGCAUGGCCGUUCUUAGUUCGUGGAGUGAUUUGUCUGGUUAAUUCCGAUAACGAACGAGACCUUAUUCUGCUAAUUAGACAGGCUAACUCUUUCGGGUUGGUUUAUAUUUAAUAUUUAACUGGCUUCAUAGAGAGACUAUCGGUAG